GCCGACGUGGCGCAGCGGUAGCGCAACGGUUUCGUAAACCGUCGGUCGUCGGUUCGAAUCCGACCGUCGGCU
rnacentral:tRNA from 2 species